UACGGAGGGGGCUAGAGUUGUUCGGAAUCACUGGGCGUAAAGCGCACGUAGGCGGAUGUGUCAGUCAGGGGUGAAAUCCCGGGGCUCAAACUCGGAACUGCCUCUGAUACAGCACGUCUUGAGUCCGGAAGAGGUGGGUGGAAUUCCUAGUGUAGAGGUGAAAUUCGUAGAUAUUAGGAAGAACACCGGUGGCGAAGGCGACCCACUGGUCCGGUACUGACGCUGAGGUGCGAAAGCGUGGGGAGCAAACAGG
rnacentral:rRNA from 1 species